GUCGAGCGGAUCGAUGGGAGCUUGCUCCCUGAGAUCAGCGGCGGACGGGUGAGUAACACGUGGGUAACCUGCCUGUAAGACUGGGAUAACUCCGGGAAACCGGGGCUAAUACCGGAUAACUCAGUUCCUCGCAUGAGGAACUGUUGAAAGGUGGCUUCUGCUACCACUUACAGAUGGACCCGCGGCGCAAUAACUAGUUGGUGAGGUAACGGCUCACCAAGGGAACGAUGCGUAACCGAACUGGGAGGGUGAUCGGCCACACUGGGACUGAAACACGGCCCAAACUCCUACGGGAGGCAGCAGUAGGGAAUCUUCCGCAAUGGACGAAAGUCUGACGGAACAACGCCCCGUGGGUGAAGAAGGUUUUCGGAUCGUAAAACUCUGUUGGUAGGGAAGAACAAGUGGCGUUCGAAUAGGGCGGCACCUUGACGGUACCUAACCAGAAAGCCACGGCUAACUACGUGCCAGCAGCCGCGGUAAUACCUAAGUGG
rnacentral:rRNA from 1 species